AGUGCGAGGCUUCACUCUGCAAGGUGUUUAAAAAGAAAAACAGGUUUACCCAGGAUUUAUCAUGUAUGGAAAAAAUGUAAUCUCUAAGUAGGCUGUCUGCUAAUGUCUGGCAUAAUGUUUCUUCAUAAUGGUUAACCCUUUUUCAGGGGAGUGGAAUAAUCAAACAGUGCCUCUCUCUAGAUGGGAACUUUGCUUCAUGGGACAUUACAAAAACGAAUUUCCUAUCUGCUUGGUCAAGACAGUUCUGAAGCCUCAAACUCAUUCCAAACUUCAUCUCAGAAGCACAUGGUGCCACGGUCAUGUGCCUGCUCAAGUACCUUCAGGAGGGCUCUGCAGGAUCCCCACAUACCCAGCGGAACAUUACCAUCUGCAGAGUCUCCAUGUGUGGAUACAAAGUUACUUUGAAGGUUGCACAAAGUUUCUAAACUAAACGUCUAGUUGAAACUUACUUCAAACAUUGGAAGACAAGGGAUAUUUCAACACAGAAACAAGAGAGGGUGCCGCGCGAUGUUUGAAGUAGAAGAAGCCGUGCUAAUGGUCUGCUGAAAGUAUUCUGACACUGUCUGGAGACGGCCAGGUCUCUGCCUUCAUUAAAUGUUUAUUGUCAACACUUGGCAGGGGCGGGAGAGAGAGAAGAGACCUGUGCAAGUGAUUUUCCGCGGCUGGAAAUUGUCAACGUUUUGUUUUAUUCUGAUUCUCGUCUACAGAAGUUUGUAUACAUUGUGCUGUGCUGAGGG
rnacentral:lncRNA from 1 species